AGAGUUUGAUCCUGGCUCAGGAUGAACGCUGGCGGCGUGCUUAACACAUGCAAGUCGAACGAAGCACCUGGAUUUGAUUCUUCGGAUGAAGAUCCUUGUGACUGAGUGGCGGACGGGUGAGUAACGCGUGGGUAACCUGCCUCAUACAGGGGGAUAACAGUUAGAAAUGACUGCUAAUACCGCAUAAGACCACAAAGCCGCAUGGCUUAGUGGGAAAAACUCCGGUGGUAUGAGAUGGACCCGCGUCUGAUUAGGUAGUUGGUGGGGUAACGGCCUACCAAGCCGACGAUCAGUAGCCGACCUGAGAGGGUGACCGGCCACAUUGGGACUGAGACACGGCCCAAACUCCUACGGGAGGCAGCAGUGGGGAAUAUUGCACAAUGGGGGAAACCCUGAUGCAGCGACGCCGCGUGAGCGAAGAAGUAUUUCGGUAUGUAAAGCUCUAUCAGCAGGGAAGAAAAUGACGGUACCUGACUAAGAAGCACCGGCUAAAUACGUGCCAGCAGCCGCGGUAAUACGUAUGGUGCAAGCGUUAUCCGGAUUUACUGGGUGUAAAGGGAGCGUACACGGCUGUGUAAGUCUGAAGUGAAAGCCCGGGGCUCAACCCCGGGACUGCUUUGGAAACUAUGCAGCUAGAGUGUCGGAGAGGUAAGUGGAAUUCCCAGUGUAGCGGUGAAAUGCGUAGAUAUUGGGAGGAACACCAGUGGCGAAGGCGGCUUACUGGACGAUGACUGACGUUGAGGCUCGAAAGCGUGGGAGCAAACAGGAUUAGAUACCCUGGUAGUCCACGCCGUAAACGAUGACUACUAGGUGUCGGGGAGCAAAGUUCUUCGGUGCCGCAGCAAACGCAAUAAGUAGUCCACCUGGGGAGUACGUUCGCAAGAAUGAAACUCAAAGGAAUUGACGGGGACCCGCACAAGCGGUGGAGCAUGUGGUUUAAUUCGAAGCAGCGCGAAGAACCUUACCUGCUCUUGACAUCCCGGUGACCGGCAUGUAAUGAUGCCUUUUCUUCGGAACACCGGUGACAGGUGGUGCAUGGUUGUCGUCAGCUCGUGUCGUGAGAUGUUGGGUUAAGUCCCGCAACGAGCGCAACCCUUAUCUUCAGUAGCCAGCAUUUCGGGUGGGCACUCUGGAGAGACUGCCAGGGAUAACCUGGAGGAAGGUGGGGAUGACGUCAAAUCAUCAUGCCCCUUAUGAGCAGGGCUACACACGUGCUACAAUGGCGUAAACAAAGGGAAGCAAACCUGCGAGGGUAAGCAAAUCUCAAAAAUAACGUCUCAGUUCGGAUUGUAGUCUGCAACUCGACUACAUGAAGCUGGAAUCGCUAGUAAUCGCGAAUCAGCAUGUCGCGGUGAAUACGUUCCCGGGUCUUGU
rnacentral:rRNA from 1 species